UUCUUCUUCCUCCUCCUCCUCCUCAUCAAUAGGAAAACACUGAGAAGCAGCCUUAAGGAACAACACAGUGGUGAUAUCCAGGGACUUGAAAUUAUGUCACGUGCUAUCGGCAACCAAUAUAUGAUGUUUGGAUUGAGAACUAUGAUCAAAGUGAAGCAGUGGAACUUUGCAGUUAAUCAAACAGGAAUUUUGAACCAAAAACCCACAAAUGUGUUUCAACACACUCGAGCUACGUAAUCUUGGCCCCUGUCAGGCUUCAAUUUGCAAAGCUCCAUAGUGGAUCCCUAAACCUCUCUACACAGGAAAUUGUGCAGGAGACUGGGGGAAAGGUGACGAGGCAGGUAUCAAAUAUUUUCUAGUUCUUUGCCGGAGGCCCUGGCCAGUGGGCAUACUUUAGAAUGAGGAUAAACGAAAAGAGCACCUCUUACCCAUGAUUAUGGUGGAUGGAGUCAAGACCAGGCAUGGACAAGAUGCCAGUGGAGAGUGCUGGAGGGUGAGAACCAUGGACACCUAAGUCAACAUGUCAUCAAAGCGAAAACAGCCUGAACCUGGAGUCAAAAGCCAAGUACUAAAUCAAAGGAUUAGCUAGAUAAAGAGAUCAAGCACAAGAAGGUUGGAAAUGGCUAGAGGGAACAUGGACUUGGUGAAGGCCAUUGCCAGUGGCCAAGUGGCUAUGUCCUGCAGCUGGACUGAAAGGAUAGGAUGCCAUAAGGUGCUUCUGGAAGUCCCUUAAAAGUCCUGCACAGAGGCUGGCUGCAGUGGCUCACACCUGUAAUCCUG
rnacentral:lncRNA from 1 species